CACAUACUCCCUCCGUCCGAAAAUACUUGUCAUCAAAAUGAAUAAAAGGGAUGACAUCCCUUUUAUUCAUUUUGAUGACAAGUAUUUUCGGACGGAACAUCCCCUUUUAUUCAUUUUGAUGACAAGUAUUUCCGGACGGAGGGAGUACGUA
rfam:Triticum aestivum genome assembly, contig: Triticum_aestivum_CS42_TGACv1_scaffold_148496_2BS